rnacentral:rRNA from 1 species
UGGGGAAUAUUGCACAAUGGGGGAAACCCUGAUGCAGCCAUGCCGCGUGUGUGAAGAAGGCCUUCGGGUUGUAAAGCACUUUCAGACGUGAGGAAAGGGUGAUGGUUAAUACCCAUCAUCUGUGACGUUAGCGUCAGAAGAAGCACCGGCUAACUCCGUGCCAGCAGCCGCGGUAAUACGGAGGGUGCGAGCGUUAAUCGGAAUUACUGGGCGUAAAGCGCACGCAGGCGGUUUGUCAAGCUAGAGGUGAAAGCCCCGCGCUCAACGUGGGAAUGGCCUUUAGAACUGGCAGACUAGAGUCUUGGAGAGGGGAGUGGAAUUCCAGGUGUAGCGGUGAAAUGCGUAGAGAUCUGGAGGAACAUCAGUGGCGAAGGCGACUCCCUGGCCAAAGACUGACGCUCAUGUGCGAAAGUGUGGGUAGCGAACAGGAUUAGAUACCCCCGUAGUCC